CCUACGGGUGGCAGCAGUGAGGAAUAUUGGUCAAUGGACGAGAGUCUGAACCAGCCAAGUAGCGUGAAGGAUGACUGCCCUAUGGGUUGUAAACUUCUUUUAUAUGGGAAUAAAAUGUUCCACGUGUGGGAUUUUGUAUGUACCAUAUGAAUAGGGAUCGGCUAACUCCGUGCCAGCAGCCGCGGUAAUACGGAGGAUCCGAGCGUUAUCCGGAUUUAUUGGGUUUAAAGGGAGCGUAGGUGGAUUGUUAAGUCAGUUGUGAAAGUUUGCGGCUCAACCGUAAAAUUGCAGUUGAAACUGGCAGUCUUGAGUACAGUAGAGGUGAGCGGAAUUCGUGGUGUAGCGGUGAAAUGCUUAGAUAUCACGAAGAACUCCGAUUGCGAAGGCAGUUCACUGGACUGUAACUGACACUGAGGCUCGAAAGUGUGGGUAUCAAACAGGAUUAGAUACCCGUGUAGUC
rnacentral:rRNA from 1 species